AUGAUGCCCUCUCUCCCCGUUACUUCAAGACCGCAGCCCCAGAGACCCCUCCAUUACAGCUCUCCACCUCAAAGAGGCUCUUCCAGACUAGGUCCUGGGGUGCUGCUGCCUGUCUAUGCUCUGUCUGUACACCCCAUCGACCUCUGUCUGGCCUACCUGGCGUGAAGAAAGGGAAGGCUGCAAUACUGGUAACCUGAGAGACUCUGCCUUUCCUGCCUCUACAUCUGGAAGACUGGACUCUGAAGGCCUGGGCCUCAGAGACCAGCCGUGCCCCUGGAUGAAGUCUCUUUCCCACCAUGCUUGACUCUCCGCUCCAAGAGGACAGGAACUGUUUGUUUUGUCUACCGCUGCUUCCCCAGCACCAAGAAUGGAGACUGGUACACCUAGGUGAUUCCUGACUGACUAAAUGGGAGGGGAGCUCA